rnacentral:rRNA from 1 species
UGCCAGCCGCCGCGGUAAUACGGAGGGUGCAAACGUUGCUCGGAAUCAUUGGGCGUAAAGCGCGCGUAGGCGGUUUGGCAAGUUGGAUGUGAAAGCCCUGGGCUCAACCUAGGAAGUGCAUCCAAAACUGCCAGACUUGAAUCCCGGAGGGGGCCAGAGAAUUCCCGGUGUAGAGGUGAAAUUCGUAGAUAUCGGGAGGAAUACCAGUGGCGAAGGCGCUGGCCUGGACGGUGAUUGACGCUGAGGUGCGAAAGCGUGGGGAGCAAACAGGAUUAGAUA